rnacentral:tRNA from 1 species
GUCUGGCUGGCUCAGUCGGUAAAGCAUCGGACUUCAGCUCAGGUCAUGACCUCGUGGUUUGUGGGUUCAAGCCCCACAUCAGGCU